rnacentral:rRNA from 1 species
CCUACGGGAGGCAGCAGUCGGGAAUAUUGCGCAAUGGACGAAACUCUGACGCAGUGACGCCGCGUAUAGGAAGAAGGUUUUCGGAAUGUAAACUAUUGUCGUUAGGGAAGAGAAAGGACAGUACCUAAGGAGGAAGCUCCGGCUAACUACGUGCCAGCAGCCGCGGUAAUACGUAGGGAGCGAGCGUUAUCCGGAAUUAUUGGGUGUAAAGGGUGCGUAGACGGGAAAACAAGUUAGUUGUGAAAUCCCUCGGCUUAACUGAGGAACUGCAACUGAAACUAUUUUUCUUGAGUGCAGGUGAGGUAAGUGGAAUGCCUAGUGUAGCGGUGAAAUGCGUAGAUAUUAGGAGGAACACCAGUGGCGAAGGCGACUUACUGGACUGUAACUGACGCUGAGGCACGAAGGCCAGGGGAGCGAAAGGGAUUAGAUACCCCUGUAGUC